GAUGAACGCUGGCGGCGUGCCUAACACAUGCAAGUCGAACGAAGACAUACCGACGGAAUCCUUCGGGAGGAAGAUGGUAUGGACUGAGUGGCGGACGGGUGAGUAACGCGUGGGUAACCUGCCCUGUACAGGGGGACAACAGUUAGAAAUGACUGCUAAUACCGCAUAAGCGCACAGUACCGCAUGGUACAGUGCGAAAAACUCCGGUGGUACAGGAUGGGCCCGCGUCUGAUUAGUUAGUUGGCGGGGUAACGGCCCACCAAGACGACGAUCAGUAGCCGGCUUGAGAGAGUGAACGGCCACAUUGGGACUGAGACACGGCCCAAACUCCUACGGGAGGCAGCAGUGGGGAAUAUUGCACAAUGGGGGAAACCCUGAUGCAGCAACGCCGCGUGAGUGAAGAAGUAUUUCGGUAUGUAAAGCUCUAUCAGCAGGGAAGAAAAUGACGGUACCUGACUAAGAAGCCCCGGCUAACUACGUGCCAGCAGCCGCGGUAAUACGUAGGGGGCAAGCGUUAUCCGGAUUUACUGGGUGUAAAGGGAGCGCAGGCGGUGCGGCAAGUCAGAUGUGAAAACCCGGGGCUCAACCCCGGGACUGCAUUUGAAACUGUCGGACUAGAGUGCCGGAGAGGUAAGUGGAAUUCCUAGUGUAGCGGUGAAAUGCGUAGAUAUUAGGAGGAACACCAGUGGCGAAGGCGGCUUACUGGACGGUAACUGACGCUGAGGCUCGAAAGCGUGGGGAGCAAACAGGAUUAGAUACCCUGGUAGUCCACGCCGUAAACGAUGA
rnacentral:rRNA from 1 species